rnacentral:misc_RNA from 1 species
UCUCCGUAGGUGAACCUGCGGAGGGAUCAUUACCGAGUGAGGGCCUCCGGGUCCGACCUCCAACCCCUUUGUUGUACCGACCCUGUUGCCUCGGGGGCGACCCGGCCUUCGGGCGUCGGGGCCCCCGGUGGACCACACCUCAACUCUUGCAUCUGUGCGUCUGAGUAACAUAUUGAAUCAAUCAAAACUUUCAACAACGGAUCUCUUGGUUCUGGCAUCGAUGAAGAACGCAGC